AAUACUCGGGAAUUGGACUUCAAUAUGUUUGGAGGGGCAGUUGCGGCGCAGUUGGUCGAGCGGGUCGUCCGAAGCGUGACUCUCUGUUGCCGAAGUGUCCUUCGGCAAGACGCUGAACCCAAAGUGGGUCCUAGUGGGCUUGGCAGCGGCCCGCGUGGCCACAGCCUCCCUUUGGUGUAUGAAUGUGAACGUUGGAGCGUCUCUGAAACCAAUUUGGCCACCGUGAUGGUUGACGUUAGAAUGCUGGAUAAAUAUUUUCCCCACGCUGUCGCUGCUGACUUUAACAGAAAUGAUGCCAGAGGACAUAAGAACCAAAGCCCACCAGAUCCUCAAAGACACCCUGACAGGUGACACCCUGUAGACCCCAAAGGAAGAGAGGGAGGGACCCUGCUAGAACUGAAGUUGCUCUAGAAAACAACGCCCUGGUCCUUCAGCGUACCCCACGGUUCUAAUGAAUGCAGUCCCAGGCCAGCCCGCCGCUACCCUCACUGAAAACCUCGGACCGAGACGGGACCGCAGCAUCUCCAGGAGGGACGGGUCCAACUUGCUGAUUGGCCGGUGGGCAGGGAGAUGCCCCCAUAUUAGGGCAGCGUGGGGGGAAACCAUUGUGUGGAGGUCGUUUGCCCAUUUGACCUUCUCGGAUGAGAGAACUCCAUGGUGGGCGGUUACCAAAAAAGUGGAUUCAGAAGAUCUCACGGAGUAAAUGCAGCUCGUAACCAUCCGCAUACUCUUGAUAGUUAGCUUCCGCAGUUGCUAGCGCAGGUUCUUUGAUUCUGCUUUCAAAGUGUGUUACAGUGGGGGGAAACCAUUGUGUGGAGGUCGUUUGC